CGCCUUUUGGUGAAAUAAAAGGUCUAACCUGCCCCCUGAAUUAUUAAAGGGCCGCGGUAUUUUGACCGUGCAAAGGUAGCAUAAUCAUUAGUCUUCUAAUUAAAGGCUGGAAUGAAUGGUUGGACGAGGUAUUAGCUGUCUCACUUAAAUAUUUUGAAUUUAGCUUUUUAGUUAAAAGGCUUAAAUAAAGUUGGAGGACGAGAAGACCCUAUAGAGCUUUACAUAUAAUUUUUUUGGUUUAAUUGGUAUUUUUUCGGUUUAAAAAAGAUUAUGUUUUGUUGGGGUGACAGGAAGAUAAAAUAAACUCUUUUUAAUAGUAAACACGAAUGAGUGAUUAUUUGAUCCAUAUUUAAUGAUUAUAAGACUAAGUUACCUUAGGGAUAACAGCGUAAUCUUUUUUGAGAGUUCUAAUCGACGAAAAGGGUUGCGACCUCGAUGUUGGACUAAAGGUUAUUUUUGGGUGUAGCAGCUCAAAGUUUAGGUCUGUUCGACCUUUGAAUCUUUACAU
rnacentral:rRNA from 1 species